rnacentral:lncRNA from 1 species
GGAGCAUUAACACAACGUGGCUGCAAAGUUAGUCCUUUCCCGCUACCAUCUCCUGAAUACUGGGACUAACUACACGUAUGCACGAACCUGCCCAUCUUUGCCUCUGUUAACAGCUGCCACUGUCUCUUCACGACAUGAUGGCUGACCUAGGGAAGAUAUUUUUGAAAAAGGGUUUAGCGUUUGCCAGAUCCUAUGCGUGAGUGACCUCAAAAGAGAAGAGGAGGGUACUUCUCAAUGACAAAGCAGUUGGAAGGAACAGAGCCAGUUGGCCAUGGACUGAAACUUUUGGAACUGAUUCUGAGGAGUUAAUGUUUCCAUGAAUAUCUCAGAAGGAGAUGUGGACAAACGAACAGUUAUCUCACUCCUGUAGCUAUCUUUCUUAUCCAGCCCAGGCCCUCCCACCGAGAAGUGGCACUAACCACCACAGGUCAAUAUAAUGGAGACAGUUCUUCAAUUGAUGUUCCCCCUUCCCAGGUUGGACUACAGUGAUCACUGAGUAGGAGCUUCGUCUUUAAAAUCUGGGGUGUGCUGUUAUGCAAUCUUCUUUCCCUGCCCAGUACUGGAUCUGUGAAAAGCUGAAUCAUGAAUCAGUGAGUGUGCGGAUUGGAACCCAAGUUGCUCUCUGGAUAGAACGAAAGGAGUCGUGCCCCAAGAAGAUGGAGAGGGAAGUUAUGAAAUGCUGUGACCAAAUAACAAAUGCUGAUGUUUGGGGAGAUAACUGUUUCCCAUAGGAAAUAGAGUGAAUGCGAUGUCUUUCUUUUGUGAGGGAUUCAUAGACCGCUUCUCAACGCUUGUUACAUGUUACUCCUUUUUUCGAGAUUUUUAUUUACCUAACUGGGAAAGAAACCAGAACAAGGUUUUCAUUGAAUUCUGAUACAGGUAUUUAAAGACUUACGGACAAGAUAUAGAAGAAGAAGUGGUAAUUAACUGAUUAAAGAAGUACAGUUUAUAUCCAGUAGACAGACAGGCUCCAGACAUCCUUAGUGCUGUCUUAGCAUCAAAGGUUAAUCUACCUAAUACUUGUCAUCCUGAAAUGCAUGGUGGAACAUCCAACAGACAAGAGCUACUUCAGGGAAGGACUAUGAUUUUUGUCGUGGAAGACAUUUAACACAGGGCAGCUCCUGUGCACUUACAUGAUAGAUAUUGCUCUUCCGGGGACUCUGAAUGCUCAUCCCACUUUCAGCUCACUAGGCACAUCGAACUAGAAAUUUUAUCAUCUCGUGAAUUAGUCCAAUACCUGAAGGAGCAAGAGAACCAACACCCAGUUGACAAGAAUAUGACCUGUUGAUUGAAGACCAUUAAGAAAGUAACUUGAUUCAGUUGGACUGGACUUUUUUAUUCUAUUGAAAAAGGAAUUUAUUUCCCCUCAGUGAACGUAACAUGAUCAACAUUUUGAAAGUUGUGAACAUGCAUAGUUCUAUAAUUUACAAAAUAAUUAUAAAAAUCUGAGUAUGGAUGCAGCAUAAUUUCAGAACAGAAUAGCCAUCAUACUUUUUAUAUAUCUUAAAUUCGAGUUUUCAAGAGUAUAUUUCUAUGUUAUAUCCUUUGAUUAGUACAAUAUAAAAUCUACAUCUAAUAUGUACUUCAGGUUUUAUUAGAUCAUGCCAUAUUACUGUACAAUUUGGACUUUUCCAUUUUUAUAUAAAAUGUAACAUGCAUUGUACAUUAAUAUUUAUAUAUCUUGUUUAUUUAUAUAUCUUUAGAAUUAAUUUCUGCCAAUUAUUUUCUUUAUUUGAAUACUUGGGGUAUCAUAAAGGUGCUGUUGAGGUAUUCUCAAUAUGCUUGUACAACUUCCUGCCUGUAGUUAAUAAAUGUGGAUAUUUCAUUAAACAAUUGAAAUAUAACA